AUUAUCUUUCACGCUCCUCCCAAGCUUUCGAUUCUGAACCAGAAUUCCACGGUGAAUCGAUCUUCCGACGCCAGAUCGACGCGAGUUGAGAGACGGCCGUGCUCAGGACGGCGGAGCGCCGGCGAGAUGCGGAGGCGGCGGCGCCGCCACCACGCGCGCUCCUAGGUGAAUCUGGCGAUCGGGAAGUUGUUGAAGGAUGUGCAAACCCUCAAUCAUAGAAGACAUUCGGCUAAGAGAGCUCGAAGGAAAAAACCUGCUCGAGUAAAGAUCCGGUCGAAUGGAAGAUUCUGUGGGGGCCGUUUCUCAACCACUCUUGCCAGCUGGAGCCAAAAGACUAGAAUGACCCUGAGAAUGUACUAAAAUACCCCUAGGGUUGCUGACAUGGCAAGGGCAUUAUAGGAAGAUCACUAAAGCCCAUGAGGGUAGAAAUGUAACAUCACAUGUAAGACCGUAGGCUAUAAAAGCCGGUCAAGUCCCUAUAGCUAGAGGAGACAUUUUUUAAUACAAAAAGUAAUCCUCUAAA
rnacentral:sRNA from 1 species